GGUUGGUCGAUCGCCGGGUGUGCCAGUGUUUCCUCGAAUCUCUUGGAAGUGAGACCUUUCGAUUUUUGCGAAGUGAUUUUUAAGUUGUUUUCUUGGGGGGAAAAAUGAACAAGUUCAGUUUGAUAGCUGUGGCUGUGUUGUGCUUUGCCUUAGUUCAAAGUGCGUGGGGUCUGUCGUGCCCUUGCUGGGAGGCCAGACCCAACUGUAGGCAACUGGACGAAACAACGUGUCCCUACGGUCUGACAACAGACGCCUGCGGUUGUUGUCCAAAAUGUAUCAACGGUCCUGGAGAGGAGUGCGGAGGCCCCUGGAGGGUACACGGCCCAUGUCCUGAUGGAUACGAAUGUGUGACGAAUCCCGAAGGACAAAAGACAGGAAUUCGGGAGAUCUGCAAGAAAGUAGAGGCUGCCAAACCCUAGUGGGAUCAGAGACAUAAUUUUUUUGUAUUACUGUAUCUAUCUUUUGGAGGUUAAUAAAUUUUUUUGAGCA